GGGGCUGUGCCUCAACAGCAGAGCAUCUGCUUGGCUUGUUGAAUGUCCCAGGUUCAAUUCCUGGCAUCUCCA
rnacentral:tRNA from 1 species